CCUACGGGAGACAGCAGUGAGGAAUAUUGGUCACUGGACGCGAGUCUGAACCCGCCAAGUAGCGUGAAGGAUGACUGCCCUAUGGGUUGUAAACUUCUUUUAUAAAGGAAUAAAACGAGGCACGUGUGCCUUUUUGCAUGUACUUUAUGAAUAAGGAUCGGCUAACUCCGUGCCAGCAGCCGAGGUAAUACGGAGGAUCCUAGCGUUAUCCGGAUUUAUUGGGUUUAAAGGGAGCGUAGAUGGGUUGUUAAGUCAGUUGUGAAAGUUUGCGGCUCAACCGUAAAAUCGCAAUUGAUACUGGCAGCCUUGAGUACAGUUGAGGUAGGCGGAAUUCGUGGUGUAGCGGUGAAAUGCUUAGAUAGCACGAAGAACUCCGAUUGCGAAGGCAGCUUACUAAACUGCCACUGACAUUGAUGCUCGAAAGUGUGGGUAUCAAACAGGAUUAGAUACCCUUGUAGUC
rnacentral:rRNA from 1 species